AGAUAUCAGGGUCAAAAGGUCUGAAAUCUGACGCAAGCUUGCUUGCAGGAAGAUUCCUGAACUUGGGGCCCGUCAAAAACAUGAGUAAGUAGCCAUUUUUCGAAGAAAAAUGAGC
rnacentral:sRNA from 1 species